AGUGAACGCUGGCGGCGUGCUUAACACAUGCAAGUCGAACGGUAACAGGAACUAGCUUGCUAGUUUGCUGACGAGUGGCGCACGGGUGAGUAAUAUAUAGUUAAUGUACCCCAAAGACUGGGAUAGCCACUGGAAACGGUGAUUAAUACUAGAUACACCUCUUUAAUAUAAGUUAGAGAGGGAAAUGUUUUUUCGCUUUGGGAUCAGACUAUAUCCUAUCAGUUAGUUGGUGAGGUAAUGGCUCACCAAGGCAAUGACGGGUAGCGGUUCUGAGAGGAUGAUCCGCCACACUGGUACUGAGACACGGACCAGACUCCUACGGGAGGCAGCAGUGAGGAAUAUCGCACAAUGGGGGGGACCCUGAUGCAGCAACGCCGCGUGGAGGAUGACGCAUUUCGGUGUGUAAACUCCUUUUAUAUGUCAAGAAAAUGACGGUAGCAUAUGAAUAAGCACCGGCUAACUCCGUGCCAGCAGCCGCGGU
rnacentral:rRNA from 1 species